GUGAUUUUGGAGGGCAAGUCUGGUGCCAGCAGCCGCGGUAAUUCCAGCUCCAAUAGCGUAUAUUAAAGUUGUUGCAGUUAAAAAGCUCGUAGUUGAAUUUCGGGGUUAGUAGGUUGGUCAUGCCUCUGGUAUGUACUGGUCUCACUGAUUCCUCCUUCCUUAUGAACCGUAAUGCCAUUAAUUUGGUGUUGCGGGGAAUUUGGACUGUUACUUUGAAAAAAUUAGAGUGUUUAAAGCAAGCUAACGCUUGAAUACAUUAGCAUGGAAUAAUGAAAUAGGACGUUCGAUCYUAUUUUGUUGGUUUCUAGGAUUGACGUAAUGAUUAAUAGGGAUAGUUGGGGGCAUUAGUAUUCAAUUGUCAGAGGUGAAAUUCUUGGAUUUAUUGAAGACUAACUACUGCGAAAGCAUUUGCCAAGGAUGUUUUCAUUAAUCAAGAACGAAAGUUAGGGGAUCGAAGACGAUCAGAUACCGUCGUAGUCUUAACCAUAAACUAUGCCGACUAGGGAUCGGAUGAUGUUAAUUUUUUAAUGACUCAUUCGGCGCCUUACGGGAAACAAUCGAAUUCCCG
rnacentral:rRNA from 1 species